rnacentral:tRNA from 1 species
GCCUCUGUGGUGGAAUUGGAAUACACGCAGCGCUUAGGACGCUGUUCCGAAAGGAUUGCAGGUUCGAGUCCUGCCAGAGGCA